rnacentral:rRNA from 1 species
UGGGGAAUAUUGCACAAUGGGCGCAAGCCUGAUCCAGCCAUGCCGCGUGUCUGAAGAAGGCCUUCGGGUUGUAAAGGACUUUUGUCAGGGAAGAAAAGGGCGGGGUUAAUACCCCUGUCUGAUGACGGUACCUGAAGAAUAAGCACCGGCUAACUACGUGCCAGCAGCCGCGGUAAUACGUAGGGUGCGAGCGUUAAUCGGAAUUACUGGGCGUAAAGCGGGCGCAGACGGUUACUUAAGCAGGAUGUGAAAGCCCCGGGCUCAACCUGGGAACUGCGUUCUGAACUGGGUGACUAGAGUGUGUCAGAGGGAGGUAGAAUUCCACGUGUAGCAGUGAAAUGCGUAGAGAUGUGGAGGAAUACCGAUGGCGAAGGCAGCCUCCUGGGAUAACACUGACGUUCAUGCCCGAAAGCGUGGGUAGCAAACA